AAUUUUUUUUUUUUUUUUCAGAUGCAGAGGGACAAGAGACGCACCAAAGAGCAACGGAGGAGAGUUGAGCGCCGUGAGAAGGUGCGAAGCGAUGAACAAAGCAGGAUAUCGGCACCGGAGCUGACUCGGGCAAGGUGGUACCUGAGCGUCAACGUGCCAGCCCAAAGCGACGGAGGCCAGGCGGGCGAGCGGCCCAGGUAUAGGAGAGGGUAAGAGGAAUUGCUGCGGCCAGGCUGUGGUUUCAGGCAGUAUCUCAGCAUGUGCAUCUUUCUUUUUUUUCUUUUUUUCAGGUGCCGUACGCAGCCUCAGAGGGGCGAAGCCGUGUGCCGGUGACCGGUCUGAGAAGGUGAGGCGGUUGUGGGCCGGGUUGGCGUCUAGUAGCACACUACUGUAUGGCAGCUCAGUUACACGUUUCUCUCUGGUUUUUCAGGCACCGUGCGGGCUGCCUUUGGAAUUGGACGUGCAGUUGAGGUGCCACAAGCGAUGAUGGCUGCAGCGUACAACUCUGGAACGAGCAGAUGAAGAAGAGGAACAUGGUGACUGUAGGAACCUCCCAGUUAGCUGAUACGGGUGUGGCUUUUUUGUCGAGGAUGGAUUCAGACCCCCGGCCCUCUGACAGCUAAGUUGAGGGAGCAGGGAUGGGGAGCGGGCCCCGUGGGGAGGGGGCGAGGUCAGGAACUGCAGGGAGGGGUUUUGAAGUUAGCGUAGGGGAGAGGGCUGUCCAGGAACAGUUCCUUUUGGGCAGCUAAAGGAAGCAGGUUACUUCUCGGUACGAUGCUAGCGUGUGCCGGGCAGGGCAGUUCCAGCCUGUGUCUGUGUUGCUGUGUUGUUUGUGUAGUCUGUCUUCUGUGUCUUAGACCUUCCUCAGGUCUUGAUGUCCUCUUCUCGCUCAAGGAGCACGGCAUGCGCCUCGGGUGCCAUCCCUAGGGUCUCGAAUGCCCGUACUCAUCGGCAUAGUGCCAAUCAGGCGCCGCUUUUCUUGCGUAACAAAUGUAAAGUGUGGAUCGGUCUUGUUUCUUGGCAGCUUCCGGUUGGUCCUCUUUUGCUCUCUUGUUCUAGGCUGUGUCAGCAGCUCUGUUCUCUAGCCAUCCGUUUUCAUGGACCGGGGCUUCUUCCCUGCGUCCUCACAUUCUUAGGUCUUGAAGCCAGGCUGCUUGCGCAUCCAUCAUCUUCGUUUUGACAGCAACUUCUUGUAACGGGCCGUCACGUUAGACUCUUUUUCUGGGGUUGCCGUAGAGCCUCCCUGCCUCACCGUUGCGGCCUUGCGGAUCUCCUUGCCUGACAGCAUCUCCGGUCUGGGAGUUGUUCUUCUUGCUGAGAGUUUUCUCUCGUCUUUGAAUCGCAUUGUUUGUAGCGUUCUGCGUAGCGUCGGUCAGUGUGUGUGUGUGUGUGUGUGUGUUUGGCGUGGAGCUGCUCUGCCCAGGGGUGCGGAGUCAGGGGUAGGUGGAAUAGCAAAAAGUGUCUGUAUUGGAAUUGGAUGAGCAUUUGAGGUGAGCUGGGUAGUAGCAAGGAGGAUCACGGGGCCGGUGACUUCUCAAGCCCAAUCCUACGUUGGUGUGUCUCAGUAUCUUCGUAGCCAGAAGCUACGAUGAGGGUAAGGGGAAUGCUAUGGCCCUUUUGAGGAGGGAGGUGUUGUGGAAGAGGUCGGUGUUGACCAGUGCAAUGCUGACUGUCAGCAGUGUUUUGUCUUUUGGUUUUAUUGCAGAUGAUGAAGAGCUUGGCAACUGCAGGAACAGGCCGGCUAGCCGAUGUGUCUUUUUUGUCGAGGAUGGAUUCAGACCCCCGGUCCUCUGAAAGCUAAGUUGAGGGAGC